rnacentral:rRNA from 1 species
UACGGAGGGAGCUAGCGUUGUUCGGAAUUACUGGGCGUAAAAGCGCACGUUAGGCGGCUUUUUAAGGUCAGGGGUGAAAUCCCACGGCUCAACCGUGGAACUGCUGGGUAUACUGGGUUGUCUUGAGCCAGCUAGGGGCGAGCGGAACAGACGGUGGAGCGGUGAAAUGCGUAGAUAUCGAUCUGGAACGCCGAAGGUGAAAACAGCUCGCUGGGGGCUGCGCUGACGCUGAGACACGAAAAGCCGGUAGGGAGCAAACGGG